ensembl:lncRNA
UGCAGGGCUAAAUUCUGUUCUGCACCCAUUCAACUUUAUUGACUUCUGUGGAGUUUCACAGGGAUAUAAGCGAGCAAGAUUUUAGUUGCCAUGGGCAUAAGAUCUGGGCAUUUGUUCCCAUGUUAUAUUCAGACACUGGAACAACUUGUAACUUCUAUAAUGUGUGGGUAGACCAAUAUUUGGAGUGUGAUACCAAUCCUCCACUGGGAUACAGAGAAUGCAUCUGAAGCUUGAAAAUCUACGGUUCUAGCUCAAGCCUUAGGAAAGUAAAGAAAAAAGAAAGCCCAUCUCAGGAUGUGGAUCCGUGGGUCCCCCCACCCCAUUUAGUCAUGGAACCAGACCAGAACCAAUGACACCAGGACCGUCUCUGGGAGUGCCUUCAGGUAGUACCUGCAGCACUGAGGAACAGGAUUUGUGUCUCUUGGACUGACUGCAUCAACUCAGCUGUGAAACUGGCUUGAGCCUGGAUCAGCAAGGAUCAACUGGAACAGGACCUCGUGGGGUUUCCUUAGGGCUCACAGGUUCUUUGUAGUUACCAAACUCUCUUCUGGCUCCUGCUGCCCCUGUUUGGCCAACACCUGUAUGACUUGUCCCACCAAGCAGACUGGCCCUGCAUUUGUACAUUGUGCUUAAGCCCCAUAAAACUAUCAUGCGAAACAAGGAGCCACCUUUGAAACCACACCACAGAAACUCAUCAGGGCAAGUCAUUCUCAAACUCAGCUUUUCAUGUGAAGUAAACUUCUAACAGUAUUCCCAGGAAAGAGAUAAGAUGUGCUAAGAUUUGCUAUUGUAAGCCCAAUACUGCCAGAGGCCCAUGGCAACACACAGAAUCUAAGCCAAGGUAUAGAAACACACUACAGGAUCAAAACAAACAAACAAACAAACAAAAACCCUUCAGGCUUUACUAAGAAAUCUCAUUAAAAAGGUCAAAUCCAUAGAGAAGGCUAGCAAGAAUAGAUGAGGUGCUGAACCUGCAGGAGUAACAUAAUAGGGAUGUUGUAACAUCCAGCCACAGAAAAAGUUCCCAGAUUUAGGCUGCAUUUAUUUCUUCUUUGCCAUAUAUUUUCCUGGUAAGCAUGAGUCCCUACUCAAACUAUCUGCAGAAAAAUAUCCUCCAAGAAUUUUGUUAGUGCUUUUUAUCUUUUGUAAUUAUAAAGGCAAGCUGCUGUAACAUGAAAAGCCUGGAAAUACUUCAAUGUUUUUUAACUGUGUAAAUGUGAUAAAAAGUCUUUCUCUGAUUUCUUUUCUUAUUUUAUCUGUGUCUUUUAUUUUUUUAUUUUUUACUUUUCGUUUCACAUUCAGCUGGGGCUCACUUCUCAGUAGAAAUGGAACCUUGAAUAUUUUGAAGAAAUUAGAUUUUGAAACAGAUAAGCUAUAAAUAAUGGACAAUUUAGUGCUGCAGCUGCACAAUAUGACUACUAUCUCUCAUUUUUAACAGCAAAAGAAGUUGCAUUGAUCUGAACACAAACAGACUUAAGCACGUGAAAAUCUGUGGUGCACAUGAAAUGGAUAUGGUUGAAUCUAUUUCAAUUAUUUCAUUGAUUAUGUGCAUUUUUUCUCCAAUGUAUGAACUUAGACAUGUAUGAGAACUUCAAAGAAAUACAUUCAUUGCCUAGCAGGAUUUUCAAAAUAAUCUAACCUUUGAAAAUCCCACUGGGAGCCUAUCUACAUUUUUAAAUGCCUAAAUAUCCUUUAAAACCCGGUCCUCUGCAACAUUAUUUUUGUCCUUGUAUAAGAAUGUGCAACACAGUGUUUGAACCUUCCUCUAAAUUUGCCUGUCUUUUCACAUUACAUACUUAAUAAAGUAAAUAUGAGGAAAAAAGGAAGACUAGUUUUGUUUUCCUACUGAUUUAUAGAAGAAUGCAUGAAAAUGUGCAUGUUACCCAUGCAAAUAAGGACUGAAAAUGUAAUGAGCUGCUCUUCUAUUUUUGUUCAUUUUGCAUGUGAGAAGACAUAAUGGUAAGGAAGAGCAAUGGUGAUUUAGUCCACUGAUCCAAGAAGCAAAUAUCUAUUUUCAUUGGAGCAAGCACUAUCAAAUGUGGAGUUUUUGGUAGAACAAUAAUUCUGUUCUAGUUAGCAAAAUAAGGUUGUUUACAUUAGUAGAAUUACUUAAAUUUGCAAAAACAGCCUGGAUUGAUG